rnacentral:rRNA from 1 species
CAGCAGCCACGGUAAAACGAAGGGGGCUAGCGUUGUUCGGAAUUACUGGGCGUAAAGCGCACGCAGGCGGCUCGAUAAAUUAGAAGUGAAAGCCUUGGGCUUAACCUGAGAAUUGCUUUUAAGACUGUCGAGCUAGAAUCCAGAAGAGGGUAGUGGAAUUCCGAGUGUAGAGGUGAAAUUCGUAGAUAUUCGGAAGAACACCAGUGGCGAAGGCGACUACCUGGUCUGGCAUUGACGCUCAUGUGCGAAAGCGUGGGGAGCAAACAGGAUUAGAUACCCCUGUAGUCCCUGUCUCUUAUAC